rnacentral:lncRNA from 1 species
UAGAAGUCAGGUCGGAUUAAGCCAUAGUACGGAAAAAACUAUGCUACCUGUGAGCCCCGUCCAAGGACGUUAAAAGAAGUCAGGCCAUCAUAAAUGCCAUAGCUUGAGUAAACUAUGCAGCCUGUAGCUCCACCUGAGAAGGUGUAAAAAAUCCGGGAGGCCACAAACCAUGGAAGCUGUACGCAUGGCGUAGUGGACUAGCGGUUAGAGGAGACCCCUCCCUUACAAAUCGCAGCAACAAUGGGGG